ensembl:lncRNA
AAAGUCACCUUUUAGUGAAUAAAAACAGUGAGGAUAUCCCAGCUUGCACGUCCCCUUCUCUAAGGCCUGUGUAAUAGUUGAUGGACGAAGAGGCAAGACUGGAGGCAGGCAAAGUUCCAGAUGAAGCUACACUGUCAGCCUGAGCCCCGGAGUGAAGAUGAUUGACACGGAGCGGAGCCUCAGCUGAACCACGAUAGACGUGUACAAUGAACCAGAGGGGAAACCAACAGCGUGGGAUCAGGAAAAAAUGGACAGUAAGAGAAAGAAGUAAAGAGAGAAGGCCCCAGAAGUGAUGUUGUAAAAGCUCCAACCCGAGGCCUCUCAUGCUGGGAAUCCUGAUGGAGAAAGAAAAUCCAGGUGGAGAGAGGCCCCAGCUGUCUCUGCCUUCCCAAACAUCUCAAUAGAGGCCCAGACCUGUGGGUGAACCCAGACGAGAGCAGGUAGGCCCAGCCCGAAUUACCAAGUCAUAGCAUAGUGAGUUAAAUAAUGGUUUUUGUUUUAAGCCUCUACCUUUUAGUGGGUUUUAUUUUCCAGCCAUAGAUAACAGACACAAAUAGGAACAAGGUCACGAGCUGAGUGUGGAAAGGGGAGGAUGUCUGGAGUUUGAAGAAAAGCAUGAAAUGGAGAUGGUUUGAGAUGGUAUAUGUGUGAGCGUCUUAGGGAAAUACAGCAGGGCUGAUGGAGACCGAUAGGAAUUCAUCUCAGCUGAAUGAACUUAAAGUAGUUUAAAGUAAGGCCAGUCAGAAUGGUUGUAUUGUCUCCAGUAACCUUCCACCUGUGCAGGCAAUGAGUAAGCGCAGUUGGAUUUACCCAGGUUGGAGUGGCGUUUUGGCAGCUUCCUUUUUCAACUGCCAUGUGGACCUCAAGUUCUGGCAUCGGACAUGAAGAUAACAGCCUUACAGACAACGUGACUUGUGACGGGAGCAUAUGGCUGGAUUCGGGGCCGAUCCUUGGUCAGUAUCAUCCCAUAUGGGCAUACUGCUUAUGACCAGUGAAGUCCUGAUUGGCUGGCAGAUCCAUUCCGAUGGGUCAGUUCCUGUACUGUACCAGUGAUCAAAUAUUUGGAAUAUCAUCCCUAGCUGGAUUUCAUGUAUUAAUGCAAUAUGACAACUUUUGACAUUUAACUAGAGAGCUGGCGUCCAAAUGUCAGUCCAUUUAUGUUUGUUCUGAUUAAUGACUUGAUUUCUUUCCGCCGUUUUGUUGUGUGGUUUCUGUUGAUCUCAAUCUUCUUUUUUCUUCCUUUAUUUUUGCCCAGUUGAUUUUUUCCCCCUUAAUCUCAUUCCACAUUUUUGCUGCUGCUUGUUAGGAACUUAUAUAUUUUAUGUCUAUUUUAAGUUUGUUUUCCAUAAUUAUUUUAACGUGCAUCUUUAACAAAACCUAAUUUAAUCAAUGUUUACCUUCCUCCUAAAUCAAGGGCCCUAAAAGGCUCUGUCUCCCCUUCCCUACACUGCACUAUUUCCCCCAAUAUUUUAGUUCUAUCCUGACCCACUCCCCUAGAAUUGGAUAUUAUUAUUAUUGCUUUAUACGGCCAAUAGUAGUUUAGCUUACUGUAUAUUUACCAAUUUUUUUUUGCUUAUCAUUCCUCUCUACACUUGAAAUGUUCCCUCUGGGAUCAUUUUCCUUCUUCAUGAAGAAAUUCUUUCAGUUAGAAUCUGUUGGUGAUAAACUCUCAGUUUUUAUUUAUCUGAAAAUGUCUUUGUUUUCAUGCUCAAGGAUUAAUUUCAUUGGUUAUGGAAUUCUAGGUUGACACUUUUUAUAUUAGCACAUUAAGAUAAAAUUUUCCUGCUUUAUGUCUUUUAUUAUUUUAGAUAAGUCAGCCAUCAGUCUAUGGUAUUAUUUAGAAGAUGGCCUUUUUUUCCCUAUCUGACCACUUUUAAGAUCUUUUCUUUUUUCUUUAUUGCUCUUCAGUUUCACUAUUGUGUAUCCAGGUAUAGAUUCCAUUUUAAUUUACUGUUUUUGGCAUUUAUUCUUAACAUGAGGAUUUGUAUUUAUAAAGAGUCCUAUAAAAUUAUCAGCCAACAUCUUUAUAUAUUGACUUUUUUUCAAUAUCUAUUUACUUUUUUUGAAACUCCAGUUAAAUGAAGUUUAGAAUGUUCUAGUUUAUUCAUCCUGUCUCUUAAUAUCUUUUGCGUUUUCUCUAUCCUGUCUUUGAGCUAAUUUCUGUGUUAUAGCUUCAGAUUUCUUUUCUAGUUCACUGUGGUCUUCUUAAUGUGUCUAAUUUGUUUAAUCCAUUCAUUGAGCUUUAAAUUUUAAUAUCUUUUAUUUCUAGGGUUCUUUUUUGUUUCUCUAAAAAUCUGCUUGGGUAUUCUUUAUGGUCUCUUAUUCCUUUUGCAUGUCAACAGGAUCUUUUGUAUUUUUUUUUAACAUAUUAAAUAUGGUUUUAUUUAUUUUUAAAAACUUUAAUUUUAUUUUUUUUAGUGAGGAAGAUUGGCCCUGAGCUAACAUCUGUGCAAAUCUUCCUCUAUUUUGUAUGUGGGAUGCCACCACAACACAGCUUGAUGAACAGUAUGUAGGUCCGCGCCCAGGAUCUAAAGCUGUGAACCCUGGGCCGCCAAAGCAGAGUGGGCGAACUUAACCACUACGCCACUGGGCCAGGCCCUAAAUAUGGUUUUAUGUUCUGAGAUUUUUGCUGGUCUGAUUUUUGCUGAUUGUUUCAGUAGACUGUUCUGGUGCUUCAUUUCCUUAUUUAUGUUGUGACUUUUGUCUGUGAGCUGCUUAUUUUUCUCGGAUGUUUCUGGAAUAAUGCUUUGAGGCAUGGGGCUGAGAUUCAGUGCUCCAGAGAGAAUUUGCAUUUACUCCUGUCAGUCAAUUGGAGCCAUUACCUACCUGUGAUCACUUUCAGCUAAACUCUCUGAAAUAUUUUGGACUACACAAAUAGAAUGAAUUUAAGCUGCCAACCAUUGUGAAGACCAAUACACCUCAAAGGAGAUUUAUUCUCCUUUUACUCAAUGAAAUAGCAUAUUUCCUCUGAUACCUUGUGGUAGCCUGAAUAAUUCCCCUCUUCCCCCAAAUGUCCAUGUUGUGAUUCCUGGGACCUUUUAAUGUCAGCUUGUGUGGCAGAAGGGGCUUCGUGGAUGUGAUCUUGUUAAGGAUAUUUAGAUGAGGAGAUUAUGCUGGGUUAUCCGGGUGACUCCAGUGUCAUCACAAAGGUCUUUACAAGAGGGACAC